rnacentral:rRNA from 1 species
UACACUCCUGCGGGAGGCAGCAGUGGGGAAUAUUGGACAAUGGGCGCAAGCCUGAUCCAGCCAUGCCGCGUGAGUGAUGAAGGCCCUAGGGUUGUAAAGCUCUUUCACCGGUGAAGAUAAUGACGGUAACCGGAGAAGAAGCCCCGGCUAACUUCGUGCCAGCAGCCGCGGUAAUACGAAGGGGGCUAGCGUUGUUCGGAUUUACUGGGCGUAAAGCGCACGUAGGCGGACUAUUAAGUCAGGGGUGAAAUCCCGGGGCUCAACCCCGGAACUGCCUUUGAUACUGGUAGUCUUGAGUUCGAGAGAGGUGGGUGGAAUUCCGAGUGUAGAGGUGAAAUUCGUAGAUAUUCGGAGGAACACCAGUGGCGAAGGCGGCUCACUGGCUCGAUACUGACGCUGAGGUGCGAAAGCGUGGGGAGCAAACAGGAUUAGAAACCCCAGUAGUCCC